rnacentral:rRNA from 1 species
CUACGGAGGGUCCAAGCGUUAUCCGGAUUCAUUGGGUUUAAAGGGUCCGCAGGCGGGAAAAUAAGUCAGUGGUGAAAGCCUACAGCUCAACUGUAGAACUGCCAUUGAUACUGUUUUUCUUGAGUAUAGAUGAAGUGGGCGGAAUAUAUCAUGUAGCGGUGAAAUGCAUAGAUAUGAUAUAGAACACCGAUUGCGAAGGCAGCUCACUAAACUAUUACUGACGCUCAGGGACGAAAGCGUGGGGAGCGAACAGGAUUAGAAACCCUUGUAGUCC